GGGCGGUUAGCUCAGCUGGUUAGAGCACUACGUUGACAUCGUAGGGGUCGUGAGUUCGAGUCUCACAUCGCCCACCA
rnacentral:tRNA from 1 species